rnacentral:sRNA from 1 species
CCUGAAAUGGGACAUAAUAGGAAUCAGUGAACUGC